rnacentral:rRNA from 1 species
AGCGAACGCUGGCGGCAGGCUUAACACAUGCAAGUCGAACGCCAUCUUCGGAUGGAGUGGCAGACGGGUGAGUAACGCGUGGAAACAUACCUUUUGCUUCGGAAUAUUCCCGGGAAACUGGGAGCAAUACCGAAUACGCCCUGAGGGGGAAAGAUUUAUCGGCCAAAGAUUGGUCCGCGUUAGAUUAGGUAGUUGGUAGGGUAAUGGCCUACCAAGCCUACGAUCUAUAGCUGGUUUGAGAGGAUGAUCAGCCACAUUGGGACUGAGACACGGCCCAAACUCCUACGGGAGGCAGCAGUGGGGAAUAUUGGACAAUGGGCGAAAGCCUGAGCCAGCCAUGCCGCGUGAGUGAAGAAGGCCUUCGGGUUGUAAAGCUCUUUCGGAUGUGAAGAUGAUGACGGUAGCAUCAGAAGAAGCCCCGGCUAACUUCGUGCCAGCAGCCGCAGUAA